GACCCCUUAGCUCAGUGGUAGAGUGUGUGAUUCCAGUUCAUGCUGAACGAGCGAUUCUCGAUAAGGAAAUCGUUCGUUCGGCGUGGUACAUCCACAAGGCCAUCCGUUCAAGUCGGGUAGGGGUCA